rnacentral:rRNA from 1 species
GCGAACGCUGGCGGCGUGCUUAACACAUGCAAGUCGAGUGCGCGCCCGUAGCAAUACGGGUGGCGCACGGCGCACGGGUGCGUAACACGUGGGCAACCUGCCCUUGGAUGGGGAAUAACUCGCCGAAAGGCGAGCUAAUACCGCAUAACACUCCGGGAACCGUGGUUUCCGGAUUCAAGCCGUAAGGCGUCCGAGGAGGGGCCCGCGCCCGAUUAGCUAGUUGGCGAGGUAAUGGCUCACCAAGGCUAUGAUCGGUAGCCGGUCUGAGAGGAUGGCCGGCCACACUGGAACUGAGACACGGUCCAGACUCCUACGGGAGGCAGCAGUGGGGAAUCUUGCGCAAUGGGCGAAAGCCUGACGCAGCGACGCCGCGUGGGGGAUGAAGCUUUUCGGAGUGUAAACCCCUUUCGACCGGGACGAAACGCCCGCAAGGGAAUUGACGGUACCGGUAGAAGAAGCCCCGGCUAACUACGUGCCAGCAGCCGCGGUAAGACGUAGGGGGCCAGCGUUGCUCGGAAUAAACUGGGCGUAAAGGGUCCGUAGGCGGUGCGGCAAGUCGGGAGUGAAAUCUCUGGGCUUAACUCAGGGGCUGCUUCCGAAACUGCCGUGCUAGAGUGCGAGAGAGGUGAGUGGAAUUGCAGGUGUAGCGGUGAAAUGCGUAGAUAUCUGCAGGAACACCCGUGGCGAAGGCGGCUCACUGGAUCGCAACUGACGCUGAGAGACGAAAGCUAGGGGAGCAAACAGGAUUAGAUACCCUGGUAGUCCUAGCCCUAAACGAUCAGAACUUGGGGUGCAUCCCGUUGGGGGUGCGUCCCGGAGCUAACGCGUUAAGUUCUGCGCCUGGGGAGUACGGUCGCAAGACUGAAACUCAAAGGAAUUGACGGGGGCCCGCACAAGCGGUGGAACAUGUGGUUCAAUUCGACGCAACGCGAAGAACCUUACCUAGGCUUGAACUGCACUGGACAAAGCUAGAAAUAGCUCUCCCGAAAGGGCCGGUGUAGAGGUGCUGCAUGGCUGUCGUCAGCUCGUGCCGUGAGGUGUUGGGUUAAGUCCCGCAACGAGCGCAACCCCUACCCUUAGUUGCUACCCGCAAGGGAGAACUCUAAGGGGACUGCUCCGGAUAACGGAGAGGAAGGCGGGGAUGAGGUCAAGUCAGCAUGGCCUUUAUGUCUAGGGCUACACACGUGUUACAAUGCAUGGUACAGACUGUCGCGAUCCCGUGAGGGGGAGCUAACCGGAAAAAACCAUGCUCAGUUCGGAUUGCAGUCUGCAACUCGACUGCAUGAAGCCGGAAUCGCUAGUAAUGGCGUAUCAGAACGACGCCGUGAAUACGUUCCCGGGCCUUGUACACACCGCCCGUCACAUCACGAAAGUGAGUUGUACUAGAAGUCGCCAAGCCAACCGCAAGGAGGCAGGCGCCCAAGGUAUGACUCAUGAUUGGGGUG